GCCACCAUUGUACAACCCUAAAACUAAACACAAUGACAGGAGACAGUCAACUGUAAAUCACACCAAGAAAGUUGGAGUUAACUCUUGAUUAGCAAAAGAAGAUCUGCACAGGAGUGUUACAUCAACUCAACACCUGCAGAUCUUGCUCCCCAUGAAGCAGUUGCUGAGACUGAAGGUCCCCGUCUCCCCAAAGCUGCAUAUGUCCUCUCUUCUCCAGGGUUUUCACAAAGCAAUCUGAGACUUCACCUGCUUGAAACCAACCAACUUCUCAUCUGCCCUCUUCAUGCCUCUCCUGGCUAUGAGAAACUAGAGGAGAGGGGAGCUCAUCACAGCAGGAGAGGGAGACGCCCGUGCCUCUUCACCAGCCAGACUCAUCUCUGCCUCUUGGCCUCUCUCUUCUCCUGCUUCAGUUUCUGCUCUUGAUUCUGGGUUUCUCUCUGCCACAGAUUCUCCCUGCUCACUAAACCCUGUUACCUCUUCUGCUUUCAGCACCUUCUCUUCCCAGUCUUCUCCCUCUUCUACCUCUGACCACUCAUUGC